rnacentral:rRNA from 1 species
GAUGAACGCUGGCGGCGUGCCUAACACAUGCAAGUCGAGCGCGAAUGGGAGCAAUCCCUAGUAGAGCGGCGCACGGGUGCGUAACACGUGGGUAAUCUGCCUUGGAGACCGGGAUAACCUGCCGAAAGGCUGGCUAAUACCGGAUAAGACCACGGGAGCCUUGGCUCCUGAGGGAAAUGGUGGCCUCUGCAUGCAAGCUAUCACUUCAAGAUGAGCCCGCGGCCCAUCAGCUAGUUGGCGGGGUAAUGGCCCACCAAGGCAACGACGGGUAGCUGGUCUGAGAGGACGAUCAGCCACACUGGAACUGAGACACGGUCCAGACUCCUACGGGAGGCAGCAGUGGGGAAUUUUGCACAAUGGGCGAAAGCCUGAUGCAGCAACGCCGCGUGCGUGAUGAAGGUCUUCGGAUUGUAAAGCACUUUCGACCGGGACGAAACCCGGACAUCCAAUACAUGUCCGCUUGACGGUACCGGGAGAAGAAGCACCGGCUAACUCUGUGCCAGCAGCCGCAGUAA